rnacentral:rRNA from 1 species
UACGGGGGGGCGAAGCGUUGUUCGGAAUUACUGGGCGUAAAGGGCUCGUAGGUGGCCAACUAAGUCAGACGUGAAAUCCCCCGGCUUAACCUGGGAACUGCGUCUGAUACUGGGAGGCUUGAGUAUGGGAGAGGGAUGUAGAAUUCCAGGUGUAGCGGUGAAAUGCGUAGAUAUCAGGAGGAACACCGGUGGCGAAGGCGGGUCUCUGGGCAGUAACUGACGCUGAGGAGCGAAAGCGUGGGGAGCGAACAGG